AGGAGCUAGACUGUGGUCACCGAGGGGCCACUGUUAAUGCCAUUGUGCUAUGCUUCUCUGCUCCCAGAGGGACCGUCUGGAAUCGGAAUGCUCCCUGCUCUGACUUAAUGCUCUGCAGCUGGACUCCUUCAAAGCUGUAACUUUGCUCAUAACGAUGCUGCUGGAGCUGGCUGCGAGAUGUGCCCUGUGUUUACUGGAAGAAACACAGAAAGUACUUUCCUGGGCCAAAUCAUUACUUCUUAGGCGGCCUCCAGCAGAGUAGUCUAUGAAGGCCUCAGAAAUCUGAUUACUUUUUUUUUAAUUAAUUCAUGUCGAUAUCGUUUUAUUCAUUUAUUUCCUAUUACUUCUUUUUAUAACUAACAGCUCAGGUAGGGAGAUGAGUGAAUUUCAAAUUCUAUUGCCCCUUUGUCUUGUUUUGUAAAACAUGCAGUUUCCUCUCUGUAUUUAAGGAAGGGGAGCUAUGUAUGCUUUCAAAGCUGGUCCUUAACGUUCCCUGCUGCACAACACCGAAGGUUAGUGGAUUCCCACCCGCCAAGUGCCCUCUUACUGCCUUCAUUGCCAACAUGUGGCACGGAUGGUUACUGCAGCUGGACAACUGCACCACCCCGAGGAGCGGAGACUCGCCAUAGCGACUCUUUGGGAAGGACGCUUAUUUUGGGGGAGACUCAUGUUAUCUCAUCUUCAAGCACCGAGCAUACAACGGACCGUUUCGCUGAGCGUUUCACCGACAGGAACCACGCGCAGUUUCGACUGUGUAUUUAUUCUACCAGAUCCACAAAGCCUGUUCGUGCUCUCAGCCUCAGAGGAAACAGCUUCUUUUAUUUUUAAUAAAUCUUUUGUGCGUAACUACACCAUUUGGUUCCAGUUCGAAAUCAUCCAGAUAUACUUUACUUCAGACUUUAAUUUAAGCAGCAGACAGCCACAUGGCCACCAGACACGACAGCAGGAAGGGAGAGCACGAGGACACAGAACAGGAAGUGGCACGGCCCAACCUGGAGGCCUCCUGCUAUGGCCUCAGGAUUUCAGAAUUUGAAACUGCUUGGAACGCUGAUCAGGCAGAGGAAGGCAGGAUUGAGGAAAUAAAUACAUGCUGAAGCAGGUUCGCACAGGUAUCGCCCAUCCUUCCAAAACGCUCUUUGGCUGCGAACGGAGACCGGGCUGCAUACACCCCGUGAGCCUGAUGAGCAGUGCUUCUGGGGCCUGCUGCCGCCCCUGCCCAUCACUUCCUGUCUCGUCACGACUACGUACGGCUUCUGAAGUCACCCCCACGGCACAUCAAGGAGAGUGCCUGUUCGGAGGGAGACCACCCAGGGGAGGCCACGGCAUUCUAACACCCCCACCUCGUACUCUCGCGGGACUCUAGGAAGCAAGUAUCGGCAACUAAGGAGGAUUCAGGACUCCCCUGCAAGGCUGUGGCCUUUAACAGCAAAUGUCUGAAUGACCAUCUCUGGUAUGGAGUCCACUCUGCAGACUUGCUAGGAUGUCUACAGACAGCACUUGCUUUCAGCUUUAGACAUGGAUUCUUUCAAGCAGGGGAGGCGGUGGGUUGCAGGGUAAAGGGGCAGCUGAGAGCUCCAGGGGGUGAGCUUCUUCCUGCCUCUUCCUCUGCUAAGGAAGGGCUGGGUGCUUAAUCUUGGCUGUACCUUACAACCCUUGAGGAGCUCUUAAGACCUACUGACAUACAAGCCCCACCCCACGUGAACUGAGAACACAUCUUUGGGGCUGGGCCUGGCACGUACAUUUUUGUAAAGGUCCUUGGGCGAUUCUGAUCUGGGACAUGUUGAAAACCAGUGGGUUAGGCGCUGACUCACCUACUCCCACAUCUGUGAUUAUCUCACUGCUAUGUAUGUUAUCUAUCAUAUGGAUUUUGUGCUUUGGCGUUAUUGUUUCUUUUAGUACAUCAAAUAAAAUACUCUUUUCCA